rnacentral:rRNA from 1 species
UACGUAGGGCGCAAGCGUUGUCCGGAAUUAUUGGGCGUAAAGAGCUCGUAGGCGGCUUGUCACGUCGAUUGUGAAAGCCCGAGGCUUAACCUCGGGUCUGCAGUCGAUACGGGCUAGCUAGAGUGUGGUAGGGGGAGAUCGGAAUUCCUGGUGUAGCGGUGAAAUGCGCAGAUAUCGGGAGGAACACCAAUUGCGAAGGCAGCUCGCUGGGACGUGACUGACGCUGAGACGCGAAAAGCGUGGGGAGCAAACAGG